GACGUAGGGCGCGAGCGUUGUCCGGAUUUAUUGGGCGUAAAGAGCUCGUAGGCGGCUUGUCGCGUCGAAUGUGAAAACUCGGGGCUCAACUCCGAGCUUGCAUUCGAUACGGGCAGGCUAGAGUUCGGUAGGGGAGACUGGAAUUCCUGGUGUAGCGGUGAAAUGCGCAGAUAUCAGGAGGAACACCGGUGGCGAAGGCAGCUCGCUGGGACGGUACUGACGCUAAGGCGCGAAAGCGUGGGGAGCGAACAGG
rnacentral:rRNA from 1 species